UGACACACAGCCUAUACACAUAGUGAUAGGGGCUCGCACUAUACCCGUGUCGGUUCAGCCCCUCCGCCCUUUUGGGUAACCUCUAACAAGCUAGAAAAGGUCUUCAUACUGAGCUAAAGCCAGAGCCAUUAUAGCCCUCAUGGUUGCACUGUUGUCCUGGGUGAUCACAUACAGACAAGAUCUCAUACAAUUAUUUGUCAUUCUUUUAUGUUCAUUGCAUAGCUAUUAAUCAUCUUACA
rnacentral:lncRNA from 1 species